rnacentral:tRNA from 1 species
GUGUGGGUCAGUGGUAGAGCACAUACCUAGCAUGUAUGAGGCCCUGGGUUCCCGCCCCAGCAC